rnacentral:rRNA from 1 species
GUUUGAUCAUGGCUCAGGAUGAACGCUGGCGGCGUGCAUAAUACAUGCAAGUCGAACGAGGGACCUUUUGUAGCAAUACGAGAGGUUUCCUAGUGGCGAAUGGGUGAGUAACACGUGGGCGACCUGCCCCGAAGUGGGGGAUAACAGCUCGAAAGGGCUGCUAAUACCGCGUGUGGUUGCCGGGGUUAGAGGCCUGGCAACUAAAGCAGCAAUGCGCUUCGGGAGGGGCCUGCGGCCCAUCAGGUAGUUGGCAGGGUAACGGCCUACCAAGCCGAUGACGGGUAGGGGACCUGAGAGGGUGGUCCCCCACACUGGCACUGAAACACGGGCCAGACACCUACGGGUGGCAGCAGUAGGGAAUAUUGCACAAUGGGCGAAAGCCUGAUGCAGCAACGCCGCGUGCGCGAUGAAGGCCUUCGGGUCGUAAAGCGCUUUUCGGGGGGAUGAGGAAGGACAGUACCCCCGGAAUAAGUGACGGCUAACUACGUGCCAGCAGCCGCGGUAAAACGUAGGUCACGAGCGUUAUCCGGAUUUACUGGGCGUAAAGCGCGUGUAGGCGGUCAGGUAAGUCGGGCGUGAAAUCUCUCGGCUCAACCGGGAGGGGUCGUCCGAAACUACCAGACUAGAGGGCAGUAGAGGGAGGUGGAAUUCCCGGUGUAGUGGUGAAAUGCGUAGAGAUCGGGAGGAACACCUGUGGCGAAGGCGGCCUCCUGGGCUGCCCCUGACGCUCAGACGCGAAAGCUAGGGGAGCGAACGGGAUUAGAAACCCCGGUAGUCCUAGCCGUAAACGAUGCAGACUGGGUGUUGGCAGCUUCAAACCUGCCAGUGCCGUAGCUAACACGUGAAGUCUGCCGCCUGGGGACUACGGCCGCAAGGUUAA